rnacentral:lncRNA from 1 species
AGCUUCUGUCUUUCAGCAGCCAAGUCACACAGGGCUCCGUACAUUUAUAAAGAGUUCAUAUGCAUUCGGUGUAUCUUGGGCUAAAGUACUGAAUUCAAGCAUUUCAAGAAACUGGACGCCCAGAGAAGGCAGACCACCAUGGCCGUCUGGACUGUCGUGACUCUGCAGUACUGGUUAUUCUGAAAAUGCCAAUACCAUGAUAUGCUAAGGAAAAAAAAUCAUCUGCUGGCAUGAAGAGGACUGGCUUAAAAAUUACAAGUGGGGAAGUUCACAUGUGUGCAGGUCUUCCCUGCCCUUCAGUGCGUUCUUCUCGGGCUACAUGUGACCUGAGACAGUAUUCCCUGAGCUCCAUCAGUCACCAGCUUCUUGUUGGGAGGAGCCACUUAGUAGUAGCAACAAGAAAUCAACAAACUCAACAAGGAUAGUCUAGGAAUUCUUGCUGCUUCACCUCACCAUGGUUUGGGCAUGAUUGUAUUCUCGUUCAUUAUGCAAGCUGAGGAUGGCUUGGCUCCCUAGACUCACAGCAUCCUGGAAACGCUGCUUCUCCCAACUUAACUCAUUCAAGACUGUGGUGUGGGAGGUCAUCUUCAGCCCUUGUGUAUAUUCUUCUGCUUGGGGCAAAUGUGACUCGGGACA